UAAAUGUUUAAAAAAAUUAAUAGAUUUUGUCUCUGGUUAAUCUGUAUUUGACUAUCCUCAGACUCUUAUGGUUAAUGCACAGACUUGCAGUUUGACAAAGUAUCUGGCGAGGAGUGUCCAACACUAGGCUGAAUUGCUGGGAUCAGACAGCGCCGUUCUCUAUGUGCCAUGAGGAAGAGUCAACCAUAAACGCACAUUAUGCGUGCUCAUUGCUGGCGCAUAUCCUAGGCAAAGAC